rnacentral:ncRNA from 1 species
UCUUAUCCAGAGAGGUGGAGGGAAUGGCCCUACGAUACCUCGGCAACCGCUUAUUCAUAAGCAAGGUGCCAAUUCCAACAAGUUUUAUGACUUGGACAGAUGAGA